rnacentral:rRNA from 1 species
CCUACGGGUGGCAGCAGUGGGGAAUAUUGCACAAUGGGGGAAACCCUGAUGCAGCGACGCCGCGUGAGUGAAGAAGUAUUGCGGUAUGUAAAGCUCUAGCAGCAGGGAAGAAAAGGACGGUACCUGAUUAAGAAGCCACGGCUAACUACGUGCCAGCAGCCGCGGUAAUACGUAGGGGGCAAGCGUUAUCCGGAUUUACGGGGGGUAAAGGGAGCGUAGACGGCAGCGCAAGUCUGAAGUGAAAUGCCGGGGCUUAACCCCGGAACGGCUUUGGAAACGGUGCAGCUAGAGUGCAGGCGAGGUAAGUGGCAUUCCUCGUGUCGCGGUGAAAUGCGUCGUUAUUAGGAGGCACCCCAGUGGCGAAGGCGGCUUACUGGACUGUAACUGACGUUGCGGCUCGAACGCGUGGGGAGCAAACAGGAUUAGAUACCCGGGUAGUC